CUUUCUCUCCAUUACACAAGCUUAAAAUGUUAAUAUAUUUGUGUUGAUUGUGUUUUCUACAGUUUUGCAUUUUGACUAAUGGUAUUAUACUACAAGUGCAAUGAUUUUUAACCUAUUUGAAAAAUAAUUCAGUUUUAAUGAAUGUUGAUGCUUUAUAUGUUUUAUUCAGUCUACUUUUUUGGGUGUGCUCCUGCUAUACAUUUAAUAGUCAAAGCUGCAUAGUUUGCAGCUACUAAGCUAAAGUGGGCACCUUUUUUUGGCUCAGACAGCACUUCGUUUUUUAUUUUUAUUUUUGGUCUCCAAGGGCAUGACAGACAUGAAUUGAUACCACUGGAGGCACUAGCUCUGAAAAUUGUUGCUGUCUUUGUGUCUGUCUGUUUUGUUUUUUAAGAUUUGGAGGCAUUUUUAGAUGGGAAGUGUUAGAGUCUUGUGGAGGCCUAGCACACCCGUGUUUACUUCCCCCAGAAAUAGAUAUUACACAGCUAAAAGUCAGCAAUUUGUUGCUGGAUUUCAGCCAUCUUGGGAGUCUCUGGAGCUGUAAAAAUGUGGUUGUAGGUGAUUUGCUCACCUUUGUGCAAAUUUCUCAGUCUUGUAAUUGUCUUAACAAAAAUUGCUAACUCAGCUCCAGAGCUUUCAGGUAUGGAUGUGAUCGUAAUAUUACACUAAAAGGUUUGAAGUCUUCAUCUUAAUUGUAUUACCCACAAAGUUCAGGAUUUUGUAGUUAAUUUAAUAGGCGUGCCAUUUGAAGUGCCUUUGAAUUUCAUGGUGCCUCUAAGUAUGCCCUAAGACAGUUACUUCCAAAGUAAUCCAGUGGGGUUUAUGUGGGCCAUCUGUUUAAGGACAAUAUUCUUUUAGCACUUCCCUGGUUUAAACCUCCUAUGUAAUUUUUAACAUUCUCUCUACUUAAAUGGUUCCUUAAGGAAAAGAACUGUAAAAAAAAAAAAUAGGUACACGUUAGAGGUAUAUAAAAUGCAUUGAUGAAUUACACCCUCAUAUUUAGGAUUAUGCUACUUGUCCCUUGUAGAAUCACAACAGCUUGCCUAUGCCACAUUUAAACUUCUCGAUUAUACAUGACAGUUGGUUCAUAUAACACUAUUUCCAACAUGGGAGAAAAAAGUUAUCUCAGACUCAGCUUUAUGCCUAUCCAUUAACCAAGAACAAAGAGCAGCUAAGCAAUUGUCCAUAUAUAUGCAGUCGGGUGAUUAUGAAGAGAUGAAAAGGUAUAAGAAUAACCACACUGUCAUAUGAAAGUUGGACUUCUAUGGAGGUAGAAAUCCAAAACCAGUGGUAUAUAUCAGUGGGAUUGGAAAUAGACCUAGUUUAAAUUACCAGUAUUGUUUUUGUUGUAAGCUCUUUUGGAGAUCUUUCUGCGAUGAAAAGAUAAACAGCAGACCUUCAUGAACCGAGCUACAUAGGUAUAUGAGGCGCAGCCUGUAUGACUGGCAACACCUCUUCCAAUCAGUCAGAUUACUUUCAUGGCUGCUGUAAUUCUUUCACAGCCAAAGUCACAUUGAGCAUUCUGAUAUGCAAAUUGGCUCCCUGAUGGGAUGUAGUGAAGAAUUAGUGAAUUCUUCAGCAAUUCCUUACAUGUUUCCGCUGGCUGAGAUUUUUCUGGGCGGUGCUAUACGCAGUAAGCUUACAUAAAGUAUAUUUGCUAUAAUGUUUUUCAUAUUACUUAAGCACUGUUUUUUACUGUUGUUUAAGGAAGGCAGUGAAAUCUGUCUAUACAUGCAUACGUUUUACAGAUGGGUACGUUUUGUGAGUUGAGUAUGAUGUAUCAACGUUACUGUAUAUGAAAAUGUUCUAUAAAAAAUUCUGACUCUGUGUAACAGUUUUUUUUGUAUAAUACUUGAUGUCAGUUUUGUUGUCAUGAAUGAACAAAUCUAAUUCACCUUCAAUCGAUGCAAUAACCAAUUGUCUCUCCAGUGGUUUUGGUUCCUUAUAUUUUUGACUAAACUGCUUACGUUGCCAGUCACAUUACAGUAAUGCCCUAAUCCAAAACAUAUAUUUUACUAAAUCUUAUUUAUUUCUGUAGGAUUUUGUCAUACAUAAAUGAUGAGAGGUAUAUGGUCUAAACUUUAAGGAGCAUUGCUUUUCCUCCCCUACUUCAAAGGUAAUUUGGGCUAUGAUGCUAUUUUUGUUGUGUUUUGCUAACUCUGGUGGAGAGCAGAUUAACCUGUCCUUCCUGAAGUGGGCAAACAAAGUAAAGCUCUUGGUAUCUCA